rnacentral:rRNA from 1 species
UGCGUAGGCGGUUAACUAAGUCACGUGUGAAAUCUUCUGGCUCAACCAGAAAACUGCGCGUGAUACUGGAUGACUUGAGUGAGGUAGGGGUGUGUGGAACUUCCGGUGGAGCGGUGAAAUGUGUAGAGAUCGGAAGGAACGCCAGCAGCGAAAGCGACACACUGGGCCUUGUCUGACGCUGAGGCACGAAAGCUAGGGUAGUGAACGGGAUUAGAUACCCCGGUAAUCCUAGCCGUAAACACUGAACACUGGAGGAUGGGGGCUUCGGCCUUCAUUCUCGUAGCGAAAGCGUUAAGUGUUCCGCCUGGGGAGUAUGGUCGCAAGGCUGAA